GUUCUUCUUCUUCCCCUCCGUUAAAAAUCAAAAAGCAUCGUUUUCUUCCAUUUUUUUGUUUGGGUUUGUAGAACAAAGGGUGAAUUCGAAGUUGGAAUUGAUUUGAAGGCGUUUUAACCACUCAAUCCUUAAAGAUAAUGAUAUGGAGUACCUGACGGACCAAAAGUUGUCCGUAAAAGGUAUAGAUGGUUAUACAUCCGGUAUAGAUGCACCGAGGAUGAAAAUGAGGACCAGUUGGGGAAGCCUUAAGGAUUAUUAUGAUAUCGUUGUAUGGAAUAGUCCACGCGCACGUCAGUAGGAAACUCAUGGACAACUCUGAGGUAUGGGAGGAAUUGACUAGGAUUUAUCUUCUUUGGGUUAUUGGUCAAGGAUUCACCGGAACGACUUCCACUAACGCUUCAAAAGCAUGGUUGGUUGUUUUGGGAGAUUCAGAAAGCUUGCAAAAUCUUGGUAGGUUUGAUUGGGGUUCAUUUAUUUAUGGUAGGUUGUUAAACAACUUGGACAAGGUUUCUAGUGGUGUUGAUAAUAACAUGGCAGUAAUGUGAAUGAUAUUAGAGUAUUGGUACUAUAUUUACUUUCGUAAUUGUCAACCAUUACUAAAAUUUGGAUCAUUCGACCCUGAACAAAUGUACCCUGCGAUUAAUAUGUUUCAAUAAACCCAUACAGAGGGUGUGAAACAAUCAGACUCCGGGAAACAUUCUAUGAGCAAUGCUAAAAGACAGAUGGAUCUGAGACUGUCACCUGGAGCAGUUGUUUGGCGACCAUGGGUAUUGAAUGCCCACUAUAGAGAUGAGGAAGUAGUUUUAGCAAGAGAGGUUAGUCGUAAGAGAAUAUAUUUCAGGGGAGUAGUGGAUAUGAAAGAUGAGGUCCUUUAUCUUGGGGAGAGAUGUUUGAGGCAGGUGUUAGGUAUAAUUUCAAUUCCUUGUACGCCUCUUGAUUUUUCAGUCACUAGAAGUGAGGAUAUAAGAUAAGGGUUUCAUUACUUUCUAGCAGAUGAUACUGAACAUGUAGGUUGGUGAAAAACUGUCAGCAUGGGUCCUUUGUUGCCAGAUUUGAGUCGUGUUCAAAGCCACGAAGAGGUUGGUAUUGGUAACAUUGGAAGCUCUCGUUUCGUUCCUAAUGUACUUGCUCCAAGUCAGUUUGCAGAAACAUUUGUAUAUACCCAACCGGAGACAUCAUCUACUUUUCCUACAGUAGAGUGGUCAUUUCCGUAUGUGAACUCGGGGGGAAUACGUGAAAUACAUCAUCUUCCGAAUAUCACCCAUCGUCUUGAUUGGAGUAACAUCCAUGACACUUAGGAUCACUGGAAAGGAUUGGCACAACAAAGUUUUGAAAAGACUGAUGCACUGGAGAAACUAUUGUAUGACCGUUUUACGUAUGGGUUUUCCAAUACUGGCGUUACAUCUUCUAGUGCUUUUAUCACUAACCAAUCCCAGGAAGAAGCUUCUCUGGAUGGGACAUUUCGUAUGUUGAGCUUAGGUGGUUCUGGUGAGUGUAUCCGUAGGCGCCAAGCUACUUCUACUUUGGAUGAUCACGGAACAGGGUAUCACCCAGUUGUCAUGGACACCGGUAUUAGUCCUACCUACUCAAUCCCAAGAUUGAGUCAAGAAGAAAAUCCUUACUUGAACAGUAAUGUGAAUUUAAAUACAGAUAUGGAGUUUGUUGUUGAAACCCAGGUUGAGAGUGAAAAGGCGAUGUGGAUUUAAAUACAGAUAUUGAGUUUGUUGUAAUCCCAAAUAUACCUCAAGCUAAAACUUUUCCUACCUAUAAGUCCUUUC